AGCGGCAGUUCCCAGUAAGCGUCCGGCCUGCAGGGAAGGGUGACCACGGAGCUCUUACAGGAUGCUGGGCUCCCCCCGCACAUUAACUCCUCACCACCCUGGGCCUGGGCACACUGAUCUGCUGCCAUCACAGGGCCUUUGCAGAAGCUGGACCCCUGCCCAGGAAGCUCUUCUGCUGGCUUCUCUCCCGUCACUGUGGAGCUGGGGUGACCCCUCCUUGAUGUCCUCCCUGACCACCGGGGCCCAAGUACAUUCUAGCAUCAUUACUCUGCCAAAGUUAUUCACAGCCAGAACCAUCACCCCACGUGAACCUACUGCCUCCUCACCUGCACCGUCAGACCUGCUGGCAACCUCGUCUGUCUUCCUCAUGGCCGCACCCUCAGCAUGAGGUGGGAACCUGGCACGGAGCAGAUGCUCACUAAAUGUUUGUGCAGCAAACAAAACAACUGUGCAAAGCCGGGCCCCCAGGCCCUGGCAUCCCUUAUGGUGUUAAUAAAGAUGGCAGGCCUGGG